rnacentral:rRNA from 1 species
UACAGAGGGUGCGAGCGUUGUCCGGAAUCACUGGGCGUAAAGGGCGCGUAGGUGGCCUGGUAAGUAGGGGGUGAAAUCUCGCGGCUCAACUGCGAGGCUGCCUCCUAAACUGUCAGGCUCGAACAGAGUAGAGGCAGGUGGAAUUCCCGGUGUAGCGGUGGAAUGCGCAGAUAUCAGGAAGAACACCCGUGGCGAAGGCGGCUCUCUGGGACGGUACUGACGCUGAGACGCGAAAGCGUGGGGAGCGAACAGG